UCACACACACAACUCACGCAUAUCUCCAUUGUUGAGGAGUUGGAGCUUUUGAGCUCUGUUUUGAGCGAGAAGACGAGCCCCGAUCAUCUUUUCGAUCACGUAUCUAAGUAGGUCCUUUUGGGAAGUAACGACUUGAGGGAGAGAGUGACGUUACUCAUUGAUACAGAGACACAACGAGGUUGAGCUGAUGUGAUGAUGGUGCUGCAAUGAGCGGAGUCUCCAGGGUUGUUAAUAAAUAGUUAACUUGUCUAGAAUAUGUCUUCAUACAUAUGUCUAGCUACUUUCCGCUGCAAGAUGUUGUUGAUGUUAUAGUAUGUUAUGUCAUACUUUGAGUCUUAAGAGAAUGGUUUCAUAUGAUGUAUAACUUGAUUAAUGAUAUUAAUUAAGUUUUAUGUUGUCUUUCA